UCUACGGGAGGCAGCAGUGGGGGAUAUUGCACAAUGGGGGGAACCCUGAUGCAGCGACGCCGCGUGGGUGAAGGAGCGUUUCGGCGCGUAAAGCCCUAUCGGCAGGGAAGAAGAUGACGGUACCUGACCAAGAAGCCCCGGCUAACUACGUGCCAGCAGCCGCGGUAAUACGUAGGGGGCAAGCGUUAUCCGGAUUUAUUGGGUUUAAAGGGUGCGCAGGCGGAAUGUCAAGUCAGCGGUAAAAUUUCGGGGCUCAACCCCGUCGUGCCGUUGAAACUGGCGUUAUUGAGUGAGCGAGAAGUAUGCGGAAUGCGUGGUGUAGCGGUGAAAUGCAUAGAUAUCACGCAGAACUCCGAUUGCGAAGGCAGCAUACCGGCGCUCAACUGACGCUCAUGCACGAAAGCGUGGGUAUCGAACAGGAUUAGAUACCCUGGUAGUC
rnacentral:rRNA from 1 species